rnacentral:tRNA from 1 species
CAGUAAAUAGUUUAUUUAAAAUAUUAAUUUUGGAGAUUGAAGAUGAAUAAUAUUCUUUACUGA